UCCAGCUGCCCUCCUAACCCCGCACAGAUGUCUCACAAGCCGCGCUCCGCUCUUGGAGGGUGGACAGAGCAAGCAGGGCAAAUCCAUCCCCCAACAACUUACAGCACAAGACCUGUGGAAGGUUUAUUCAAAAAUGAGAGCUGGAAUAUGGUCAUCUUCUUUACAUUUCUUUGUGCUUCAAGCAAUUGGACAAUGAGCAAAGGCUAAAGAACGAGGAACAAAAAGGUGUAGAAACUUCUAAGAAAUGAAAAUGCAGACAGCGUAUGCAACUAAAAUGAAGGACUGCAUUAUCAAAUUCAUGAGUUUUCAAAGAAGGAUUCAUUUAUGUCACCCUACUCAACGUACUAAAACAGUCAUUAAGAGAAAUGAUCGCAAACUGGUCAGAAUGCUUUUUGGAAGGAAAAAAAAAUCACCCUCAGAUUGUACAGUUCCAAACAUCCCUUUAAAUCAAUAAGAAACAAAGCUCUAAUAAAGAAUGCUGAAUCAGGCCCCUCA